rnacentral:rRNA from 1 species
CCUACGGGUGGCAGCAGUGAGGAAUAUUGGACAAUGGGGGCAACUCUGAUCCAGCCAUGCCGCGUGAGUGAAGAAGGUAUUCGGGAUGUAAAGCUCUUUCGGCAGUGAAGAAAAUGACGGUACCUGCUUAAGAAGCCCCGGCUAACUACGUGCCAGCAGCCGCGGUAAUACGUAGGGGGCAAGCGUUAUUCGGAUUUACUGGGCGUAAAGGGAGUGUAGGCGGUUUUGUAAGAUUGGAGGGAAAUGCCGGGGCUUAACUGUGGAAUUGCCUUGGAAACUGGGGAACUAGAGUGAGGGAGGGGAAAGCGGAAUGCCUAGUGUAGCGGUGAAAUGCGUAGAUAUUGGGAAGAACACCGGUGGCGAAGGCGGCUAUCUGG